rnacentral:rRNA from 1 species
GAUGAACGCUGGCGGCGUGCUUAACACAUGCAAGUCGAACGGAAAGGCCCAAGCUUGCUUGGGUACUCGAGUGGCGAACGGGUGAGUAACACGUGGGUGAUCUGCCCUGCACUUCGGGAUAAGCCUGGGAAACUGGGUCUAAUACCGGAUAGGACCACUUCUUGGAUGUUGUGGUGGAAAGUUUUUUCGGUGUGGGAUGAGCUCGCGGCCUAUCAGCUUGUUGGUGGGGUAAUGGCCUACCAAGGCGUCGACGGGUAGCCGGCCUGAGAGGGUGUACGGCCACAUUGGGACUGAGAUACGGCCCAGACUCCUACGGGAGGCAGCAGUGGGGAAUAUUGCACAAUGGGCGCAAGCCUGAUGCAGCGACGCCGCGUGGGGGAGGACGGCCUUCGGGUUGUAAACUCCCUUCGCUAGGGACGAAGCGUUUUGUGACGGUACCUGGAGAAGAAGCACCGGCUAACUACGUG